UAGAAACACAAGUAAACCAUACAACUACGUAUAAUAAAGCUGAAAGCUGUUUCCCCCCCUUUUUUUUUUUGGUGACACAAAGCACCAAGUUUACUUAAAUGGUAGAAACAAAUUAGCUCAUUAUUUUCCUCCAAAAGAAUCAGUUAUGGCUAUUAACUACUUUUCACCUACAUUCACUAUACUUGUAGGUUAAUUUCUAUGUACCCUUCUUUACGUGUGUUUUAUCUGUUAGGCAGGUUAUAUAUUCACAGUUGUAUGUUCUCAUAUAUUCACAGCUGUACAUUUACAUGUAUUUUCAAUUAGCAUAACCAAGUCGAAGUCAGAAAGUUGGCUUUCUUCAGAUCCUGCCACAAGCAGGCCAGUCAUUUGCACCCACAGAGAAAUAAACAUGACACUUAAGCAGUGUGGGAGGGAAUUUUUCUGCUGUGACCUUCUUCGGUUUUCUUCCUCUAGCAUAGGAUUCCAAGUUAUCCACGGACCAUGAAAAGAAAAGCAUCUGACAUUUUAAACAGAAUGACUUAUAUUCUGUUUCUUGAUAGACAGUUAUUUAGGCUGGGUUAUUUGAGAUGCCUCAAAUAUUUUCUCUGUUUUUAUCUUUCACUUCUGUAAAUACAUCAGGAAACUUGUUUAAAUCAUUCAUAGGGUUAUACUGCAGCUAAAUUGGUUCAUGUUCACAACAUUUGAGUAGAAAGCACAGACAAAAGGCACAUCAGUAUGGAAGUCCCAUAUUCACCUUUAUUUCAGUGCAGCAGUACUGGCAGAGACACAGCUAGUGAACUCUCAGCAGCCUGAUCAGCAUUUAGUACAGAUUAAAGUACAGACAAAUACUGAUGAGUUCUGCUCAUAAUAUCUUAGUACCAAAGUGACUCAUUUCUAAGUGUUUCCCCUUGUGAGUAGACCACAGAGUUGGCCCUGUGCCCAUGACAUAAUGCUGAACAAAACAAGAUCAAGGCACCUGCAAGUCCGUCUUUCUGUAGCUAUGCCAUGCUGCACAUCAGUUUAAACAUCAGAUUUGGGUACAAUCGUUCAAGCAAAUUAGCAAAUUCCCAUCUGUUAGCAGAGACACAGUAAGUGCAUUCUGAGCUCAAUGCAGUCAGCAAUAACUCAUGCUAUUUUGACUACUGGGUUUUACUUUACACCUGGAACAUCAGUGCCCCUGCUGUCUAUUACCUGUCCCUAUAGGACGGAAGGUUGCUUGGCCCCCACAGGGAUGCAAUCAACUUUGAUUGUGCUGUCAGUCUUACCUGUGGAGGAAUCGGCAAUUCCUGUCUCUAGAAGAGAAGAGAGCAAACUUUUAAACUUCGAUAGCUCAGGGCUUAGGCAGCAGGCUUAGUGAUAGGUAGCGGAGAAAAGCAACUUACAUCACAGUGACAGUGUCAAGAUGAAGGAACACAAAAAUCAAACUUCAAACAGGAAGAGACACAGCAGGACAGGCACAGAAAGAGUGGACAACUCUACAAGAAUCAGCCAGGGGGAAAAACAGGGAAAAGAAAAGAGUGAAGUCGCAAAGCUCAGGUGUGCGCAUUGAGGGAAGGACUGACUCAGGACUUGGAGGAAACAACAAAUUAAAAACAGACCUGAAUCUAGAAGUAAUACCUUUGCAUAUUUUGGCUGGAGUAAGAUACAAAUAUCUCCAUGCAUUUCCUGUGUACACUAAGAAAAGCUUCCAUACAGACUCUCUAACAACUGGAGAACCAAUGCUUCUUGUGCAGCCAAUGGCUCAGACUGUGAAUGAACUAGUCGUUAACAAAAACUUAAACAAGGAAAUAAUUUCUCUUAAUCCCCAGAAGAGGCUGCUAUUAUCACAGUAGGAGUGUGGUACCCUGAAG
ensembl:lncRNA